CUUGGGCUGCAUUUUGGGUCAUUGUAGUCGGCUUAGUUCUGGCCGCUUCAGGGGCAUACCUUGUCUACAAAUAUAGAAUUAGGGUAAGUUUGGUUGCAUUCUCCCUGUUUGGUGAUGUUAUAUGACGCCUUUUUUUUCUUUUUUCUUUCCUUUCUAUGUUUAUACAAGAUUUAUGACAUUCUAUGAAAUCCAUUAAUUUCGAUACCAGCUUUUUUGUUUAAAAAUCAAAUUCAGAAACAUGAAAGUGUAUUCGACAAAUUCUGUGGAGAAGCAAGAGUCUUUCUUAAAUCACUUCAUAGUAUUUGAUUGGCUAAAAUUAACUGUAUUUUUCUUGUAUUUUUGCAGUCAUACAUGGAUUCUGAAAUAAGGGCCAUCAUGGCUCAGUAUAUGCCCUUGGACAGCCAAUCAGAAGUUGUAAAUCAUGUCAACGAUGAAAGAGCAUGAAAGUGAAAACAUGUCAGCCUGUUGGCAGAGUUGUGUGUUGAGAAAUGAGACCUGGUUGUGGCAUAC
rnacentral:lncRNA from 1 species